rnacentral:rRNA from 1 species
GACGAACCGUGCGAACGUUGUUCGGAAUCACUGGGCUUAAAGGGCGUGCAGGCGGUCUGUUUAAGUGCAGGGUGAAAGCUCCCGGCUCAACUGGGAGAGGUCCUUGCAUACUGGCGGACUUGAGGGGGGUAGAGGAAAGUGGAAUUCCCGGUGUAGUGGUGAUAUGCGUAGAUAUCGGGAGGAACACCUGUGGCGAAGGCGGCUUUCUGGGCCCUACCUGACGCUGAGACGCGAAAACGUGGGGAGCGAACCGG